rnacentral:rRNA from 1 species
UACGGGGGGGGCAAGCGUUGUUCGGAAUUACUGGGCGUAAAGGGCUCGUAGGUGGCCAACUAAGUCAGACGUGAAAUCCCUCGGCUUAACCGGGGAACUGCGUCUGAUACUGGAUGGCUUGAGUUCGGGAGAGGGAUGCGGAAUUCCAGGUGUAGCGGUGAAAUGCGUAGAUAUCUGGAGGAACACCGGUGGCAAAGGCGGCUUGCUAGCUUGUAACUGACGCUGAGGCGCGAAAGCUAGGGGAGCGAACGGG